rfam:Salmo salar isolate Sally breed double haploid chromosome ssa19, whole genome shotgun sequence.
UACCCGCAUGACUGUAAGUCGCGUUUGGAUAAAAGCGUCUGCUAAAAUGUCAUAUA